GAUGAACGCUGGCGGCGUGCCUAAUACAUGCAAGUCGAACGCUGGAAAUCUAGCUUGCUAGAUUGAAGGAGUGGCGAACGGGUGAGUAAUACAUAAGCAACCUACCCACGAAGACUGGGAUAAUCUCUGGAAACGGGGACUAAUACCGGAUCGGUAAUCGGAAGGCAUCUUCUGAUUAUUAAAGGUUAAAAACACUGGUGGAUGGGCUUAUGGCGCAUUAGUUAGUUGGUGAGGUAACGGCCCACCAAGACGAUGAUGCGUAGCCGGCCUGAGAGGGUGAACGGCCACAUUGGGACUGAGACACGGCCCAGACUCCUACGGGAGGCAGCAGUAGGGAAUUUUCGGCAAUGGGGGAAACCCUGACCGAGCAACGCCGCGUGAGUGAUGACGGCCUUCGGGGUGUAAAGCUCUGUUGUAAGGGAAGAACGGUAGAUAGAGAAUAUCUAAAUGACGGUACCUUACCAGAAAGCCACGGCUAACUACGUG
rnacentral:rRNA from 1 species